AGUGAACGCUGGCGGUAGGCCUAACACAUGCAAGUCGAACGGCAGCACAGUAAGAGCUUGCUCUUACGGGUGGCGAGUGGCGGACGGGUGAGGAAUACAUCGGAAUCUACUUUUUCGUGGGGGAUAACGUAGGGAAACUUACGCUAAUACCGCAUACGACCUACGGGUGAAAGUAGGGGAUCUUCGGACCUUGCGCGAUUGAAUGAGCCGAUGUCGGAUUAGCUAGUUGGCGGGGUAAAGGCCCACCAAGGCGACGAUCCGUAGCUGGUCUGAGAGGAUGAUCAGCCACACUGGAACUGAGACACGGUCCAGACUCCUACGGGAGGCAGCAGUGGGGAAUAUUGGACAAUGGACGCAAGCCUGAUCCAGCCAUACCGCGUGGGUGAAGAAGGCCUUCGGGUUGUAAAGCCCUUUUGUUGGGAAAGAAAAGCAGCAGGUUAAUACCCCGCUGUUCUGACAGUACCCAAAGAAUGAGCACCGGCUAACUUCGUG
rnacentral:rRNA from 1 species